AUGCAAGUCGAACGCGAACUGCUCCUUCGGGAGCCUAGUAGAGUGGCAAACGGGUGAGUAACGCGUGGGUAACGUACCCUGAUCCUGGGAAGUAGCCCGCGGAAACGAGGGCUAAUACCGAAUGUGGCGAACGACCGGUUGGUCGCUCGCUAAAGGUGGCCUCUUCUAUGCUGCCGGGUUGGGAUCGGCCCGCGUCCCAUUAGCUAGUUGGUGAGGUAACAGCUCACCAAGGCCACGAUGGGUAGCCGGCCUGAGAGGGUGUACGGCCACACUGGCACUGAGACAAGGGCCAGUCCCCUAUGGGAGGCGCAGGCGGGAAUAGUUCACAAUGGGCGAAAGCCUGAUGACGCGACGCCGCGUGAGCGAAGAAGACCUUCGGGUUGUAAAGCUCUGUCAGGAGGGAAGAAGGCUCUACGGGUUAAUAGCCCGUGGAAUUGACGGUACCUCCAGAGGAAGCCCCGGCUAAAUACGUGCCAGCAGCCGCGGUAAUACGUAUGGGGCAAGCGUUGUCCGGAUUUACUGGGCGUAAAGGGCGCGUAGGCGGUUUGUUAAGUCGAAGGUGAAAUCCUCGGGCUCAACUCGAGAAUUGCCUUCGAUACUGGCAAACUAGAGUGGCGGAGAGGAAAGCGGAACUCUUGGUGUAACGGUGGAAUGUGUAGAUAUUAAGAGGAACACCGGUGGCGAAGGCGGCUUUCUGGACGCACACUGACGCUCAGGCGCGAAAGCGUGGGUAGCAAACAGGAUUAGAUACCCUGGUAGUCCACGCCAUAAACGAUGGGUACUAGGUGUCGGGGGUAUCGACCCCUCCGGUGCCGCAGUUAACGCACUAAGUACCCCGCCUGGGGAUUAUGGUCGCAAGGCUGAAACUCAAAGGAAUUGACGGGGCCCCGCACAAGCGGUGGAGCAUGUGGUUUAAUUCGACGCAACGCGAAGAACCUUACCUGGGCUUGACAUGCUUGGGACAGCGCUGGAAACAGCGUCUCUCCUUCGGGAGCCCUUGCACAGGUGCUGCAUGGCUGUCGUCAGCUCGUGUCGUGAGAUGUUGGGUUAAGUCCCGCAACGAGCGCAACCCUCGUUACUAGUUGCCAUCAGUUCGGCUGGGCACUCUAGUGAGACUGCCGGUGAUAAACCGGAGGAAGGUGAGGAUGAUGUCAAGUCAUCAUGGCCCUUACGCCCAGGGCUACACACGU
rnacentral:rRNA from 1 species